CUGGACUCGGGCACUCACUAGACUGAAGUCUUCCCACUGCAGAUGUCCCCUUAUUAAUGCAAAGCUGCCACACUGAAGUCCCAUUGUCAAGAAAGAACCUUUGUUUGUGAAAAUGGCCUUUAGUUCUGAAAUAUCCAUCAUCUUAUUCUUCCUGGUGACCAUCGUGAGCUCCAGCCAUGGUUUGGAAUCAACAAAUGAUGAAUCAGAUGACAAGGACCUGAGAUUCCACUGGACUUCUGGCUUCUUCCCCAAUGGGACCAGGGUGCAUCCCUCUCACACAGGAAUUGGAGCAGCACAACCAAGCCCUGUCUACCCUGCCUACUCCCAGGGUGAACGGAUAACAACAAAGAAGCAGUUGACACCAGGGCACAAUUGCAACCUGAUUUCGCUACGCAAGCAUUCCAAAGGAGCUGCCUCUGGAAUGCCAGUCCUGUGACGUGGGACAAGAAAACAGUGUUGCUUU
rnacentral:lncRNA from 1 species